ACCGGGAGUUGGGGGCGUACUCCUGUAAUCCCGCUACUUGGAGGGCGAGUCCAGCGGAUGCCUCUGGUCGUGUAAUUCGGGUCCAACUCGUCGCGCAUUGCUUUAGACAGUCGGCGGGAGCACUUCGGGGUCCCGACCGAGUGUUUUCGUCGGCCAUAGGGUCAUGAGGGACCCUGCGCGCCAGACGAAGAGUCAGACCUGUACCUU
rnacentral:SRP_RNA from 1 species